rnacentral:rRNA from 1 species
AUUGAACGCUGGCGGCAGGCCUAAUACAUGCAAGUCGAACGAGUGGCGGACGGGUGAGUAAUGUCUGGGACACUGCCCGAUGGAGGGGGAUAACUACUGGAAACGGUAGCUAAUACCGCAUACCAUCGGAUGUGCCCAGAUGGGAUUAGCUAGUAGGUGGGGUAAUGGCUCACCUGGGCGACGAUCCCUAGCUAGUCUGAGAGGAUGACGGGCCAAAGUGGAACUGGGACACGGUCCAAACGCCUACGGGAGGCAGCAGUGGGGAAGAUUGGACAAUGGGGGCAAGCCUGAUGCAGCCAGGCCGCGUGUAUGAAGAGGGCCUUCGGGUUGUAAAGUACUUUCAGCGAGGAGGCGUUACUCGCAGAAGAAGCACCGGCUAACUCCGUGCCAGCAGCCGCGGUAAUAC